rnacentral:rRNA from 1 species
AGUGAACGCUGGCGGUAGGCCUAACACAUGCAAGUCGAACGGCCGCACAGUAAGAGCUUGCUCUUACGGGUGGCGAGUGGCGGACGGGUGAGGAAUACAUCGGAAUCUACUUUUUCGUGGGGGAUAACGUAGGGAAACUUACGCUAAUACCGCAUACGACCUACGGGUGAAAGCAGGGGAUCUUCGGACCUUGCGCGAUUGAAUGAGCCGCUGUCGGAUUAGCUAGUUGGCGGGGUAAAGGCCCACCAAGGCGACGAUCCGUAGCUGGUCUGAGAGGAUGAUCAGCCACACUGGAACUGAGACACGGUCCAGACUCCUACGGGAGGCAGCAGUGGGGAAUAUUGGACAAUGGGCGCAAGCCUGAUCCAGCCAUACCGCGUGGGUGAAGAAGGCCUUCGGGUUGUAAAGCCCUUUUGUUGGGAAAGAAAAGCAGCAGGUUAAUACCCCGCUGUUCUGACGGUACCCAAAGAAUAAGCACCGGCUAACUUCGUG